AAUGAACAGUAUCUUUAAUUUUUCAUGGCAGUAAUAAUUAUAGAAAUACUUUAAAAGUAAAAAUAGCCAGGAAUAAUAAGAGUUUAAAAAGUGUCUCGAUACUGAGAUAAAGUGCAUAAAUUCUCUCUGCUUAGCCUUUGUGCAUUAAAUUUAGAUUUCCUCGGGUGAAAUUCUUCCAUAGAGAGUUUGAGCUUAUUUAAGUAAUUAUCCCUUAGACGAGGUUCAAAGCAGAAAGAUAGACUGGCUCAAUGACUCGUUGUAGUUUUCCUGCUAAAUUAGUAUUUUAUCGCCAAAAAAAACAAAAAAAUACACCCACAGCAUUGUGAAAUUUGAUUACAGAGUAGAAUGAACUUGUGUCUGCGGUUAUAGGUGGGUUAAACAGGUGUUACUGAUUGAGUCAAGUUCUUUGUUUCAGUGCCAAAUGUUUAAAGCAUGUAUAUUUUGGGAGUGCAACUAUUUAAGAUUCAGUGGUUUGUAACAGGUGGGUAUCACUAAUGACGCUUAUGGAGAGAAAGUUAACAGUGGAAAAAGAUCAUACAAACACAACUACCUGAAGCCUCCCUUUUCUUCCUCUGUGCCCCAUGGGACUUUUCAAUAAUAAGGAAUCCUGUGAAGAAAUUACAAUGCUGGAACCCUCACAUCCCACCAGGAUCAUGAACCUUUGGGCCUCUUUCUCGGGUGCGGGGCCCCAUCAGUCUGAUAAAAUGCAAGCCAGACUCCUCAAACACUCCACCAUGGAAGCAGCUUCAACCAGACCCCUGAGGCUCUAUUAAACGUCACUCAGUGGAAACAUGAAAGAAAGCCCCUUGGAAAUGAAUCAUAGCCUCUACCCCUCCUCACCCUGAUCCCUCCAUCCCAUGUGCCCGUGACCACAAGAAAGAGCAUGGUGGAGGAGUGGAGGUUAUAAAACACACGCUGGCUUUGUGCAGCUUGUCGUUUAGCAGUGAUGCAAGAUUUUGAUGAUGUUGUUUUCUGUAUGCAAAAAAAAAAAAAAUGCCAAGGAAGAAAAAAGUGAUUUUAGAAUGUUAUUUUUCAUUUGCCAUGCAUCUCUUAGAAACAAGGAGUUCUGUUUCUGAGUGUUUGUUGUUUCCUGAAUAACCUGAAAGCUUGGUAGUGUGUGAUCCUCAGUCGUUUAGCAUUUGAUACCCAGUUUUUCCUCUGUAACCAUCUAAAAUUUGGCAAGUGUAUGAUGCCUAUUGUUUUAAACUCUGUUUAGAUUUCAUUACGCAAUGUAAGUUAUGUAGUGUAUUCCAGCCAUAAGCUUC
ensembl:lncRNA